CACGUAGGAGGCAGACGUUAUCCGGAUUUACUGGGCGUAAAGCGCGUGUAGGUGGUUCUGUAAGUAGGGCGUGAAAGCUCCCGGCUCAACUGGGAGAUGCCGUUCUAAACUGCAGAGCUAGAGGAUGGUAGAGGGAGGUGGAAUUCCAGGUGUAGCGGUGGAAUGCGCAGAUAUCUGGAGGAACACCAGUGGCGAAGGCGGCCUCCUGGACCAUUCCUGACACUCAGACGCGAAAGCUAGGGUAGCAAACGGGAUUAGAUACCCGU
rnacentral:rRNA from 1 species